GGAGAGAUGGCCGAGUGGCCGAAGGCGGCACACUGCUAAUGUGUUAUACUCCGUCAAGGGGUAUCGAGGGUUCGAAUCCCUCUCUCUCCGCCA
rnacentral:tRNA from 1 species